GAGAAAGAGAAAUUUGUUCUUUAUUAUGUAAAGCAAACCAAAGGGGGUGGUGUAUCUAGCAAUGACUGUAAAAGAUCCUGAUUUUGCACUUGAUAAACGUGAGAUCAACUUUCAAGAUUAAGCUAGGCCUACCCAUUUGCAUUUUGAAGGAUGAGAGCUUCCAGAUUGAGAAAUUCUGUGUAUCUUUCUCUCUUAGCUUUCUUCAUCGUGCUGGUAUGCCUCCUUCUAUAUCACUACCCUAGAUCACAUGAAAGUAUGCUUCUGUUCAGGCAUUCAUCAACUUACGACCCAGAGAAUGAAAAAUUAGGGGAUACGCUGAGGAGAGCUACGAUGCCAGACAGAACUGUUAUUCUAACAAUGGUAGAUGAAUCAUUGGCAAGUCCAGGAUCUCUCCUUGAAAUUUUACUACAAAGCUUCAAAUCAGG